AGUGAACGCUGGCGGUAGGCCUAACACAUGCAAGUCGAACGGCAGCACAGAGGAGCUUGCUCCUUGGGUGGCGAGUGGCGGACGGGUGAGGAAUACAUCGGAAUCUACUCUGUCGUGGGGGAUAACGUAGGGAAACUUACGCUAAUACCGCAUACGACCUACGGGUGAAAGCAGGGGAUCUUCGGACCUUGCGCGAUUGAAUGAGCCGAUUUCGGAUUAGCUAGUUGGCGGGGUAAAGGCCCACCAAGGCGACGAUCCGUAGCUGGUCUGAGAGGAUGAUCAGCCACACUGGAACUGAGACACGGUCCAGACUCCUACGGGAGGCAGCAGUGGGGAAUAUUGGACAAUGGGCGCAAGCCUGAUCCAGCCAUACCGCGCGGGUGAAGAAGGCCUUCGGGUUGUAAAGCCCUUUUGUUGGGAAAGAAAUCCAUCUGGUUAAUACCCGGGUGGGAUGACGGUACCCAAAGAAUAAGCACCGGCUAACUUCGUGCCAGCCGCCGCUGUAA
rnacentral:rRNA from 1 species